GUAGGGUCAACUUUUAGAAACCAAAACAACAAUCACUUAACAACCACAACAAACCUCCAAAUCUUAGAGGACAAAUCUACAAACCCUUACUUGGACAGAGUCAAGGAAUACAGUUUCCGAAGAAAACAUCUUGAAACCCAAAUUGCCUGGACAGGAAACUAGGUGCGUAUCGUGCUACUGUUUACCAUUCUCAAGCAUCCUCACUAGG
rnacentral:lncRNA from 1 species